rnacentral:rRNA from 1 species
AACUGAAGAGUUUGAUCCUGGCUCAGAUUGAACGCUGGCGGCAUGCCUAACACAUGCAAGUCGAACGCGAAAGCUCCUUCGGGAGUGAGUAGAGUGGCGGACGGGUGAGUAACGCGUGGGAAUCUGCCCAGUAGUGGGGGACAACUCGGGGAAACUCGAGCUAAUACCGCAUACGCCCUACGGGGGAAAGGCUUCGGCCGCUAUUGGAUGAGCCCGCGUCGGAUUAGCUAGUUGGUGGGGUAAUGGCCUACCAAGGCGACGAUCCGUAGCUGGUCUGAGAGGACGAACAGCCACACUGGGACUGAGACACGGCCCAGACUCCUACGGGAGGCAGCAGUGGGGAAUAUUGGACAAUGGGCGAAAGCCUG